rfam:Smittium culicis strain GSMNP scaffold-2868, whole genome shotgun sequence.
GGUCUAAGGCGCCGCACUCAAGUUGCGGUCUCGAAAGAGGCGUGAGUUCGAAUCUCACAGAUACCA